rnacentral:rRNA from 1 species
GACGAACGCUGGCGGCGUGCUUAACACGCGCAAGUCGAACGAUGAAGCCUGAGCUUGCUCCGGUGGAUUACUCGCGAACGGGUGAGUAACACGUGAGCAAUCUGCCCUUGACUCUGUGAUAACUGCGGGAAACUGUAGCUAAUACCGGAUACGACACCUUGGGGCAUCCCAGGGUGUGGAAAGAAUUUCGGUCAAGGAUGAGCUCGCGGCCUAUCAGCUAGUUGGUGAGGUAAUGGCUCACCAAGGCGACGACGGGUAACCGGCCUGAGAGGGUGACCGGCCACACUGGAACUGAGACACGGUCCAGACUCCUACGGGAGGCAGCAGUGGGGAAUAUUGCACAAUGGGCGAAAGCCUGAUGCAGCAACGCCGCGUGAGGGAUGAAGGCCUUCGGGUUGUAAACCUCUUUUAGCAGGGAAGAAGCGAAAGUGACGGUACCUGCAGAAAAAGCACCGGCUAACUACGUGCCAGCCGCCGCCGUAA